ensembl:lncRNA
GUUGCGGUUGUUUAACUUUCAGCUUCAGUUAAUUUAUAUUCAUUCCACUAAAUAACCCAGUGUGCGGAAUUUAGACAUUGUUUACUCUAAAACUAUAUGUUUCAGCCGGUCUUUUUGUGAUGAACACCGUCUCCGGUGACCUCUGCUUGUGUAAACUCCGCUGCUUGUGUAACAUGAACGUUAGCUAGCAGCGUUAGCUAGCGUUAGCUGCACCACAGUCAGGUACCUGCAGCUGUUGUAGCUGUGUAAGCUAGUUAGCUGCCUGUUCAGAAAGCCAGCUUGUAGUAAGUUUUGAGAUGUUUGCCCAAGUGAGAACACGCCUGGGCUCGACUUUGGUCAAACUGCCCAGUUGUUUAGGUUCAAGGGCGACGAGAGGAAUAACACCUGUCUUCUGCAAACACCAGCACCGGAGUUUCAGCUCAGAGUCUGCUGGUGUCCGGGUGCUGUACGAUGGGCUUUGUCCUAUAUGCGUGACAGAGAUCCGUUUCCUCGAGUUUCUGCAGAGAAAUGAGUCUGGGAAAGUACAUUUUAUUGAUAUCGCCCUGCCAGACUAUGAUGGAGCAAAAUACCACAACGUCACCUAUGAGAUGGCCAUGGAGGUGAUGCAUGUGAUCGAUGAGAAUGACCAGAUUCAUCGUGGGAUCCCAGCGUUUGCUGUCAUGUACAGUGCAGUGGGCCUCGGCUGGUUGGGUCGCUUCAUGAUGUGGUCGCCUGUGAGGCCACUUAUGGACAAAUCUUAUGCCAUCUUUGCAAAGAAUCGCCUUAAGUGGACCGGACGUGGGGAGGAGUGCAUGACAGGACGCUGUGAGAAGAAAAUACAGUGAUUCUUGACCUCAGACAAAAAGGAACUGUUCAAACAGGUUAUGAAUAAGUGCAUAAACACCUCAUGGUCAUUCCUGUAUAGCCACUGGUUUAUCAUAAACCUGACAUUAAAGGUUAAUAUAUGUUGCUAAAGUUAAAUAUUGUUUGAGUUCUUCAUUUAGUUCAUGAAAACAUCUACAAAAAAUGAAGCAGAGAAUUCGAAAAGAUUCUUCAAUGUGCUGAAACUGGCAUGAAUAUUAAAAAGUAGUUCAUAAUCUUCACUUCACAUUAAGCAUCCAAAAAUUGUAACUGAAAGCACAGUUUCACCAAAGCAGAUUCUGACAAAUAACAUCAUUUUGUCAGGUUUCUUUUGAGGAAAAUGAAAUAAAAAAAUUGGUAAGACGACAGACAAUCAAAAGAAACUCCGGAUACUGAAAAAGAUCAAAAAACAUGGCAGCCGAGAGAAAGGAGCUCACUGUGAAAGACCAAUUGUGUAUUUUAUGAAGGGCUGUCAUAUUUUGGCAAAUGUACAGUACAGAGAUAAGACUGAAAGUCGGUGAGGCAAAAUACAGUCAAUUUCCUGUCAUGCACAGGGUCUCAGAUUGAGUUUCAUUUAAAGGCCGAUAAAGAACUAAACUGUCAGGAAGCUGCCACUAGAUGUCAAUGUAAGUCUGAAAUAAUAUCAGUGGUGGGAGUGGAAUUGUUGCUGCAGAUGUCAGCUGUGAUUGAUCCGAUCAUUGAAUGUUGCUUUGUCUGGAAAAGGCUUACUAAUACCAGCUUAGUUCAGUAGAUUUUUUGCGUUUAAAUUAUGUUUUGAAAGGGACAGAUACAGGCACUUUUUGGCUCCACAUGAGCCUCUGCUGUUAUGAAGAACAACACACUGCAGUGCAGAACAGCAUGUGCUCGCCAGAGGUUAGCCAUAGGACGCUGAUGUUUACAAAACAUACUCUGAUAUAGCAUAAGGCAGACACUUAGACAUACUUCCUGUGUUUGUGUGCCACAACAAUGGCAAAUUACUGGUUAAUUAUUUAUAUGGAGGGUAUCAAUAAAAUAACACUUGUCUGGAGCAUAUACAUAAACAGAAGGGAUGAAGACAAAGGGUGAAGUUUGUUUAUUUUACUUGCUCACUAUCUAUUUAAUAAUUAAAGCAUGUGCAUGUUUUUGUUAGGUAAAGCAGGAACAAUGGGUAACAAUGUUGGAGUAAAAAUGCAUUUUUUAUAGUAUAAUUUAUUCUUUAAAUUCUGUAUUCAUGGAAAAAUACAGCUUUAACUAUAAAGUAAUUUAUGGUAUGGAUCGGAUUGUAAAACAAACCCCCUUUGUCCAGUCUUCACUUCAUUUUCAUUGUCAAUAUAGUAUCAUUACAGGAUAUAUUAAAGUUUAAAUAGUUACAUUUAAAUAUUUUUUGUUGAAGCUGGCUUUCCUAUAGAUAUAGAUACACUGUAAUUACAUUCCUGGUGUCUUAUGUGCGCGACUAAAGAAUAAAACUACUUGUGAUUCCUUACACUGCUGUCUGUUUGGAGAAAGGUGUGCAAUAGUGUGCGUGAUGUGCUCUGACGUAUCACCAAGACCCUCGAGUUGUCACCCCCCUCUAAUUUUAGACUUGUGCUCGUCGGCAGCGACAGCACAUGACUUUAAGCCUGUGUGGUCUUAUUGAACAUUGGCCAAGCCGGCCAACCCCCCACAGCCCAG